rnacentral:lncRNA from 1 species
UGGAUUUGGGUGACGACCUUUUUGGAGAUUCGGUACCACAUGCAUUAUGUGUCAAUAAGUGCAUAUCAUAGCAUGAGUCCUAUGUGAAAUGGGUGAUUGGUGAUGAAUUGAGAUGAAUGAAUGUUGAUAAUGAUUGCUCAAUGAUUGAUGUUUGUGAAUGAAUGUUUAUGAUUGGAUAAUUACUCAUGUGAUUGAUAUAUGUUGAUAGGAGCUAUCAAGUUGUGAUAUAAGUAUUUAUGCAUGACUAUUAUUAUUCAAGUGCAUGAUAUUAUUUGAUUUAAUUGUUAUCUGGAUUAUGAUAAUGUAAUGCUUACCCCCAGUGGUUUUAACCGCCUACUUGCCUGUAUGGGUGAGUAGACGUUGUGCAGGAGUAGUCUCGGUGAGUCUUUGCUUGGGAUAUCGGGAGCUUCCUCCGAUAUCGGUGUCGUGUCGGCUCUGAUCUAGGCUUGUCGUGUCGGUCUAGAUUAGGUUGUUUAUAUUUUCCUUUGGAUUAUUAUUUUGUUGAUGACUACCCGUAUGUUUGGGUUUUGAGAUUUAUCUUUGGGAUAUGAUUUAUUUGCUCAUGGCAUGUAUAUAUUUGAUCACUCUGAUUUAUAUUCCGC